UAGGGAAUAUUGGACAGUGGGGGCAACCCUGAUCCAGCCAUGCCGCGUGAGUGAAGAAGGCCCUCGGGUUGUAAAGCUCUUUUGUCCGGAAAGAAAAGCUUCGGGUUAAUACCCCGGGGUUCUGACGGUACCGGAAGAAUAAGCACCGGCUAACUUCGUGCCAGCAGCCGCGGUAAUACGAAGGGUGCAAGCGUUACUCGGAAUUACUGGGCGUAAAGCGUGCGUAGGUGGUUGUUUAAGUCUGAUGUGAAAGCCCUGGGCUCAACCUGGGAAUGGCAUUGGAAACUGGGCAGCUAGAGUGCGGUAGAGGGUAGUGGAAUUCCCGGUGUAGCAGUGAAAUGCGUCGAGAUCGGUAGGAACAUCUGUGGCGAAGGCGACUGCCUGGACCAGCACUGACACUGAGGCACGAAAGCGUGGGGAGCAAACA
rnacentral:rRNA from 1 species